UACGUAGGGAGCAAGCGUUGUCCGGAAUCAUUGGGCGUAAAGCGCGCGUAGGUGGCCUCAUAAGUCCGCUGUGAAAGUCAAAGGCUCAACCUUUGAAAGCCGGUGGAUACUGUGAGGCUAGAGUACGGUAGAGGCGAGUGGAAUUCCUGGUGUAGCGGUGGAAUGCGCAGAUAUCAGGAGGAACACCAAUAGCGAAGGCAGCUCGCUGGGACGUUACUGACACUGAGGCGCGAAAGCGUGGGGAGCGAACAGG
rnacentral:rRNA from 1 species